rnacentral:rRNA from 1 species
GACAGAGGGUGCAAACGUUGUUCGGAAUUACUGGGCGUAAAGCGUGUGUAGGCGGCUUUGCAAGUCGGAUGUGAAAGCCCCGGGCUCAACCUGGGAAGUGCACUCGAUACUGCAGAACUUGAGUGUGGGAGAGGUUGGUGGAAUUCUCGGUGUAGAGGUGAAAUUCGUAGAUAUCGAGAGGAACACCGGCGGCGAAGGCGGCCAACUGGACCAACACUGACGCUGAGACACGAAAGCGUGGG